rnacentral:rRNA from 1 species
GAUGAACGCUGGCGGCGUGCCUAAUACAUGCAAGUCGAGCGAACGGACGAGAAGCUUGCUUCUCUGAUGUUAGCGGCGGACGGGUGAGUAACACGUGGAUAACCUACCUAUAAGACUGGGAUAACUUCGGGAAACCGGAGCUAAUACCGGAUAAUAUUUUGAACCGCAUGGUUCAAAAGUGAAAGACGGUCUUGCUGUCACUUAUAGAUGGAUCCGCGCUGCAUUAGCUAGUUGGUAAGGUAACGGCUUACCAAGGCAACGAUGCAUAGCCGACCUGAGAGGGUGAUCGGCCACACUGGAACUGAGACACGGUCCAGACUCCUACGGGAGGCAGCAGUAGGGAAUCUUCCGCAAUGGGCGAAAGCCUGACGGAGCAACGCCGCGUGAGUGAUGAAGGUCUUCGGAUCGUAAAACUCUGUUAUUAGGGAAGAACAUAUGUGUAAGUAACUGUGCACAUCUUGACGGUACCUAAUCAGAAAGCCACGGCUAACUACAUGCCAGCAGCCGCGGUAAUACGUAGGUGGCAAGCGUUAUCCGGAAUUAUUGGGCGUAAAGCGCGCGUAGGCGGUUUUUUAAGUCUGAUGUGAAAGCCCACGGCUCAACCGUGGAGGGUCAUUGGAAACUGGAAAACUUGAGUGCAGAAGAGGAAAGUGGAAUUCCAUGUGUAGCGGUGAAAUGCGCAGAGAUAUGGAGGAACACCAGUGGCGAAGGCGACUUUCUGGUCUGUAACUGACGCUGAUGUGCGAAAGCGUGGGGAUCAAACAGGAUUAGAUACCCUGGUAGUCCACGCCGUAAACGAUGAGUGCUAAGUGUUAGGGGGUUUCCGCCCCUUAGUGCUGCAGCUAACGCAUUAAGCACUCCGCCUGGGGAGUACGACCGCAAGGUUGAAACUCAAAGGAAUUGACGGGGACCCGCACAAGCGGUGGAGCAUGUGGUUUAAUUCGAAGCAACGCGAAGAACCUUACCAAAUCUUGACAUCCUUUGACAACUCUAGAGAUAGAGCUUUCCCCUUCGGGGGACAAAGUGACAGGUGGUGCAUGGUUGUCGUCAGCUCGUGUCGUGAGAUGUUGGGUUAAGUCCCGCAACGAGCGCAACCCUUAAGCUUAGUUGCCAUCAUUAAGUUGGGCACUCUAAGUUGACUGCCGGUGACAAACCGGAGGAAGGUGGGGAUGACGUCAAAUCAUCAUGCCCCUUAUGAUUUGGGCUACACACGUGCUACAAUGGACAAUACAAAGGGCAGCGAAACCGCGAGGUCAAGCAAAUCCCAUAAAGUUGUUCUCAGUUCGGAUUGUAGUCUGCAACUCGACUACAUGAAGCUGGAAUCGCUAGUAAUCGUAGAUCAGCAUGCUACGGUGAAUACGUUCCCGGGUCU